AGAGUUUGAUCCUGGCUCAGGACGAACGCUGGCGGCGCGCCUAACACAUGCAAGUCGAACGAGCGAGAGAGAGCUUGCUUUCUCGAGCGAGUGGCGAACGGGUGAGUAACGCGUGAGGAACCUGCCUCAAAGAGGGGGACAACAGUUGGAAACGACUGCUAAUACCGCAUAAGCCCACGGCUCGGCAUCGAGCAGAGGGAAAAGGAGCAAUCCGCUUUGAGAUGGCCUCGCGUCCGAUUAGCUAGUUGGUGAGGUAACGGCCCACCAAGGCGACGAUCGGUAGCCGGACUGAGAGGUUGAACGGCCACAUUGGGACUGAGACACGGCCCAGACUCCUACGGGAGGCAGCAGUGGGGAAUAUUGCACAAUGGGGGAAACCCUGAUGCAGCGACGCCGCGUGGAGGAAGAAGGUCUUCGGAUUGUAAACUCCUGUUGUUGAGGAAGAUAAUGACGGUACUCAACAAGGAAGUGACGGCUAACUACGUGCCAGCAGCCGCGGUAAAACGUAGGUCACAAGCGUUGUCCGGAAUUACUGGGUGUAAAGGGAGCGCAGGCGGGAAGACAAGUUGGAAGUGAAAUCCAUGGGCUCAACCCAUGAACUGCUUUCAAAACUGUUUUUCUUGAGUAGUGCAGAGGUAGGCGGAAUUCCCGGUGUAGCGGUGGAAUGCGUAGAUAUCGGGAGGAACACCAGUGGCGAAGGCGGCCUACUGGGCACCAACUGACGCUGAGGCUCGAAAGUGUGGGUAGCAAACAGGAUUAGAUACCCUGGUAGUCCACACCGUAAACGAUGAUUACUAGGUGUUGGAGGAUUGACCCCUUCAGUGCCGCAGUUAACACAAUAAGUAAUCCACCUGGGGAGUACGACCGCAAGGUUGAAACUCAAAGGAAUUGACGGGGGCCCGCACAAGCAGUGGAGUAUGUGGUUUAAUUCGACGCAACGCGAAGAACCUUACCAAGUCUUGACAUCCUGCGACGCACAUAGAAAUAUGUGUUUCCUUCGGGACGCAGAGACAGGUGGUGCAUGGUUGUCGUCAGCUCGUGUCGUGAGAUGUUGGGUUAAGUCCCGCAACGAGCGCAACCC
rnacentral:rRNA from 1 species